rnacentral:rRNA from 1 species
GUGGCAGACGGGUGAGUAACGCGUGGGAACGUGCCUUUCGGUUCGGAAUAACUCAGGGAAACUUGAACUAAUACCGGAUACGCCCUUCGGGGGAAAGAUUUAUCGCCGAAAGAUCGGCCCGCGUCUGAUUAGCUAGUUGGUGAGGUAAUGGCUCACCAAGGCGACGAUCAGUAGCUGGUCUGAGAGGAUGAUCAGCCACACUGGGACUGAGACACGGCCCAGACUCCUACGGGAGGCAGCAGUGGGGAAUAUUGGACAAUGGGCGCAAGCCUGAUCCAGCCAUGCCGCGUGAGUGAUGAAGGCCCUAGGGUUGUAAAGCUCUUUCGCCAGGGACGAAGCGUGAGUGACGGUACCUGGAUAAGAAGCACCGGCUAACUACGUGCCAGCAGCCGCGGUAAUACGUAGGGUGCGAGCGUUGUCCGGAUUUAUUGGGCGUAAAGGGCUCGUAGGUGGUUGAUCGCGUCGGAAGUGUAAUCUUGGGGCUUAACCCUGAGC